rnacentral:rRNA from 1 species
AACGUAGGAGACGAACGUUAUCCGGAGUUACUGGGCGUAAAGGGCGUGUAGGCGGUUUAGUUAAGUCUGGCGUGAAAGCUCUCGGCUAAACCGGGAGAGGUCGUUGGAUACUGGCGAACUAGAGGAUGGUAGAGGCGUGUGGAAUUCCGAGUGUAGUGGUGAAAUGCGUAGAGAUCCGGAGGAACACCAGUGGCGAAGGCGACACGCUGGGCCAUACCUGACGCUAAAGCGCGACAGCAUGGGGAGCAAACGGG